GGGCCGCUAGCUCAUCUGGCAGAGCAUCGGACUUUUAAUCCGAGGGUGCAGGGUUCGAGUCCCUGGCGGCCCACCA
rnacentral:tRNA from 1 species